rnacentral:rRNA from 1 species
GCGAGCGUUAUUCGGAAUUAUUGGGCGUAAAGAGUGCGCAGGCGGUUUUUUAAGUCGGAUGUGAAAUCCCCGGGCUCAACCCCGGACCUGCAUUCGAAACUGCCAAGCUAGAGUGUGUCAGAGGGGGGUGGAAUUCCACGUGUAGCGGUGAAAUGCGCAGAGAUAUGGAGGAACACCAAUGGCGAAGGCAGCCCCCUGGGCCAUCACUGACGCUCAGGCACGAAAGCGUGGGGAGCAAACAGGAUUAGAUACCCCGGUAG